rnacentral:rRNA from 1 species
UACAGAGGGUGCGAACGUUGCUCGGAAUUACUGGGCGUAAAGCGCAUGUAGGCGGGUCGGCAAGUCAGAUGUGAAAUCCCCGGGCUCAACCUGGGAACUGCAUCUGAAACUGCUGGUCUUGAGUACUGGAGAGGGUGGCGGAAUUCCUGGUGUAGAGGUGAAAUUCGUAGAUAUCAGGAGGAACACCGGUGGCGAAGGCGGCCACCUGGACAGUAACUGACGCUGAGAUGCGAAAGCGUGGGGAGCAAACAGGAUUAGAUACCCUGGUAGUCCACGCCGUAAACGAUGGGUGCUAGGUGUCUCGGGUAUUGACCCCUGAGGUGCCGUAGCUAACGCGUUAAGCACCCCGCCUGGGAAGUACGGUCGCAAGACUAAA